UCCCGUAGCUGCAGACAAGUAUGGCAGUCUGAGAGUUGUGACAACUGUGUUUGUGCUGUAAAUAUUCAUCAUAUUCUAGUUUUAUAGCAUCGUUGAAUCGGAUUUGAGAUUUUUCUGAACUUAUAACCACAUCUCGACUCAGCCCACUAUGCCGUCCGCCUGUGACUCUCUGAUUGAAGACAUCGAGGACAUGGUGUCAUCCAGCGACCCGACUCCUCAUGAGAGACAGUCUGCCAGAAAGAGUAUCAUACCGAGGUCCAGGAGGAAGAAAGAGCUGAGCGACGAGGAGCUCCAAGCCGACAGCUUGAUCCCUGGAACCCAAAAGAUCUGGAUGAAAACAUGGGGCUGCAGUCACAACAACUCAGAUGGAGAGUACAUGGCUGGACAGCUCGCUGCCAGCGGAUACAAGAUGACUGGUGAGAGACUGUUUAAUUACCACAAUUUGCAUGACGUCAGGAGUUCACUGAGCAAUAUAAUACAAAAUUAUUUCUACAAUAAAAUUUAAACAGU